AGAGUUUGAUCAUGGCUCAGGAUGAACGCUAGCGGCAGGCCUAAUACAUGCAAGUCGAACGAGAUUGUUGUAGCAAUAUGACAUGAAAGUGGCGCACGGGUGCGUAACACGUAUGCAAUCUACCUCUAAUUGGGGGAUAGCUUCGAGAAAUCGGAAUUAAUACCCCAUAACAUAAUUGAAUGGCAUCAUUUGAUUAUCAAACCUCCGGGGAUUAGAGAUGAGCAUGCGCAACAUUAGCUAGUUGGUAAGGUAACGGCUCACCAAGGCGACGAUGUCUAGGGGAUCUGAGAGGAUUAUCCCCCACACUGGUACUGAGACACGGACCAGACUCCUACGGGAGGCAGCAGUAAGGAAUAUUGGACAAUGGUGGCAACACUGAUCCAGCCAUGCCGCGUGAAGGAUGAAGGCCCUAUGGGUUGUAAACUUCUUUUAUAUGAUAAAAAACCACUUUACGUGUAAAGUGCUGAUGUCGUAAGAAUAACGUC
rnacentral:rRNA from 1 species